AGAGUUUGAUCAUGGCUCAGGACGAACGCAGGCGGCGUGCUUAACACAUGCAAGUGUACUUGAACGCCCUGCUUGCAGGGAACUAUGGUGGCGAACGGGUGAGUAACGCGUAGACAAUCUGCCCCUUUCAGUGGGAUAAUCUCGGGAAACUGGGUCUAAUACCACAUAACAUCUCUUUUUGGCAUCAUUAAGAGAUUAAAGAUUUCGAAUCGGUGAGGGAUGAGUUUGCGUACCAUUAGCUAGUUGGUGGGGUAAUGGCCUACCAAGGCAACGAUGGUUAGCUGGUCUGAGAGGAUGAUCAGCCACACUGGGACUGAGAUACGGCCCAGACUCCUACGGGAGGCAGCAGUGAGGAAUAUUGCACAAUGGGGGCAACCCUGAUGCAGCAACGCCGCGUGUACGAUGAAUCAGUUUAUCUGUGUAAAGUACUGUUAAUUGGGACGAAUUAUAGGGUUUGUAGCCUUAUUUGACU
rnacentral:rRNA from 1 species